CUUUGAAAAAAUAAUUUAUUUUUCAAAUCGCCUCGUCUCCUCAAUCUCCCUAUUUAGGUGCUAGUACAACAAAAACUUCAAAACAGAACAAAAAUCAAAUCAAAAGAGAAAACCCCGGAUAAAUUUUGAGGGGAAAGGAAGAGAGACGCCAGCUUGCUUCCACUUCCUCCUCUGGUCGUCGCCCACCACCUCCGGAGUCCGGAGUCUUCUCCACCUCCUCCCCUGCCGUGCUCUGCGCUGCCGCCCCUGCGGACGCCGUGAGCCGUCCGGGCGCCCCCCCCCUGGUUGUCCUUGAUUUGUUUGGGGCAGUAGUUUAUUGACAGAAGUGUAUCAUUGAUCAACAAGACUUAGCCCAGUACUCCUUUUCAAAUCAGUAUGAUUACCCUUACCUACAGUUGGGCUAGCAUAGAACGUCAGUCAUGAUGUCGGGCUCAAAGAAGGAAAGGAAUCUCAGCACGUGUUUCCAAUUAGGCCAGAAAUCUUCUGCUCAUUUUUGUUUGUUUUCAAAAGUCCGAUCUGCCAGCCCACCACCUGGAAAUACACCAGUUUAUCUAAAUGUGUAUGAUUUGACACCAGUAAAUGGCUAUGUUUACUGGGCUGGUCUAGGGAUAUUUCAUUCUGGCAUUGAAGUUCAUGGCGUGGAGUAUGCAUUUGGAGCACAUGACUAUUCGAUUAGUGGAGUUUUUGAAGUGGAACCUCGGCAGUGUCCUGGUUUCAAAUUUAGGAAAUCAAUAUACAUGGGAACUACCUGCCUGGAUCCUCUCCAAGUCAGAGAGUUCAUGGAGAUUCAGUCAGUAAAUUACAAUGGGGAUACCUAUCAUUUGAUAAGUAAAAACUGCAACCAUUUCUGUGAGGACAUGUGCAAAAGGUUGACAGGAAAUUUAAUUCCAAAAUGGGUUAAUCGGCUUGCCAGAAUGGGUGCUGUUUGCAACUGCAUUCUACCAGAGUCCCUCAAGAUUGACGCAGUCCGUCAUGACCCAGAUGGCCAAGCUGAAGAUAGUGAGAAAAGAAGGCUGACAGGUGCCUUCAGUUGCUUCUCUUCAAUCUCUCUGUGCCAAAGACAUUUCUCAACGUCUUCGCUCUUCCUACGUUCCCCUGCGAAAGGAACUUCUUGGGAUAUGAAACAGUCGAGUUCUGCCCAAUCGAAGAAGAGCUGAGAAUUGAGGUACCCUGUACAUUGCUUUCCCUCAUUGAAGCACCAGGAUUUUUUUUAUCAGCAAUCUCUUCUUCAACAGUCAUCAAAGAAGGAUACAAAGGCAACAUGGUGCGGUUCUUUCUGGGUUUGUACAUGACUCCGCUUGUGAAAUGUUGUGCACUUGUGCUUCAUUGCUGUAUAUAGCCUGGAGGUUGCUUGAUUUGUGCAAAUGGAAAUGCAAAGCACUCCCCAUUAAGGCAUUAAUAAAUAUAAUUCAACAAAACAUUACUAACUGAAGCAAGCAUAUUAAACCCAAGAAUGGGGUGGUUUCAGAGGGGCCAGGCUGCCAGUGGGCGUUUUCAUAUAUGAUACAGUAUGUAAUGGUGAAUGGCGUGUGAUCCAGAUAUUCUGUUUUUGUACUCAAGCAACUUCAGGCAUUGCACUACAACGUGCAUACGACAAAUUUUUUUUU